rnacentral:rRNA from 1 species
AUUGAACGCUGGCGGCAGGCCUAACACAUGCAAGUCGAGCGAGCGGCGGACGGGUGAGUAAUGUAUGGGGACUGCCCGAUAGAGGGGGAUAAAUACUGGAAACGGUGGCUAAUACCGCAUACUAUCGGAUAACCCAUAUGGGAUUAGCUAGUGGGUGGGGUAAAGGCUCACCUAGGCGACGAUCUCUAGCUGGUCUGAGAGGAUGAUGGGCCACACUGGGACUGGGACACGGCCCAGACUCCUACGGUGGGAGAGGGGGGGAAUAUUGCACAUGGGGGACAGUCCUGAGGCAGCCCUGCCGCGUGUAGGUGGAAGCCCUUAGGGUUGUAAAGUACGUUCAGCGGGGAGGCGUUACCCGCAUAAGAAGCACCGGCUAACUCCGUGCCAGCAGCCGCGGUAAUAC